GGUUAAGCGACUAAGCGUACACGGUGGAUGCCCUGGCAGUCAGAGGCGAUGAAGGACGUGCUAAUCUGCGAAAAGCGUCGGUAAGGUGAUAUGAACCGUUAUAACCGGCGAUGUCCGAAUGGGGAAACCCAGUGCAAUUCGUUGCACUAUCGUUAACUGAAUACAUAGGUUAACGAGGCGAACCGGGGGAACUGAAACAUCUAAGUACCCCGAGGAAAAGAAAUCAACCGAGAUUCCCCCAGUAGCGGCGAGCGAACGGGGAGCAGCCCAGAGUCUGAAUCAGCUUGUGUGUUAGUGGAACGGUCUGGAAAGUCCGACGGUACAGGGUGAUAGUCCCGUACACCAAAAUGCACAGGCUGUGAACUCGAAGAGUAGGGCGGGACACGUGGUAUCCUGUCUGAAUAUGGGGGGACCAUCCUCCAAGGCUAAAUACUCCUGACUGACCGAUAGUGAACCAGUACCGUGAGGGAAAGGCGAAAAGAACCCCGGCGAGGGGAGUGAAAAAGAACCUGAAACCGUGUACGUACAAGCAGUGGGAGCACCUUCGGGUGUGACUGCGUACCUUUUGUAUAAUGGGUCAGCGACUUAUAUUCUGUAGCAAGGUUAACCGUAUAGGGGAGCCGCAGGGAAACCGAGUCUUAACUGGGCGUUAAGUUGCAGGGUAUAGACCCGAAACCCGGUGAUCUAGCCAUGGGCAGGUUGAAGGUUGGGUAACACUAACUGGAGGACCGAACCGACUAAUGUUGAAAAAUUAGCGGAUGACUUGUGGCUGGGGGUGAAAGGCCAAUCAAACCGGGAGAUAGCUGGUUCUCCCCGAAAGCUAUUUAGGUAGCGCCUCGUGAACUCAUCUUCGGGGGUAGAGCACUGUUUCGGCUAGGGGGUCAUCCCGACUUACCAACCCGAUGCAAACUACGAAUACCGAAGAAUGUUAUCACGGGAGACACACGGCGGGUGCUAACGUCCGUCGUGAAGAGGGAAACAACCCAGACCGCCAGCUAAGGUCCCAAAGUCAUGGUUAAGUGGGAAACGAUGUGGGAAGGCACAGACAGCCAGGAUGUUGGCUUAGAAGCAGCCAUCAUUUAAAGAAAGCGUAAUAGCUCACUGGUCGAGUCGGCCUGCGCGGAAGAUGUAACGGGGCUAAACCAUGCACCGAAGCUGCGGCAGCGACACUAUGUGUUGUUGGGUAGGGGAGCGUUCUGUAAGCCUGCGAAGGUGACCUGUGAGGGUUGCUGGAGGUAUCAGAAGUGCGAAUGCUGACAUAAGUAACGAUAAAGCGGGUGAAAAGCCCGCUCGCCGGAAGACCAAGGGUUCCUGUCCAACGUUAAUCGGGGCAGGGUGAGUCGACCCCUAAGGCGAGGCCGAAAGGCGUAGUCGAUGGGAAACAGGUUAAUAUUCCUGUACUUGGUGUUACUGCGAAGGGGGGACGGAGAAGGCUAUGUUAGCCGGGCGACGGUUGUCCCGGUUUAAGCAUGUAGGCUGAUUGUCCAGGCAAAUCCGGAUAAUCAAGGCUGAGGUGUGAUGACGAGGCACUACGGUGCUGAAGUAACAAAUGCCCUGCUUCCAGGAAAAGCCUCUAAGCAUCAGGUAACAUUAAAUCGUACCCCAAACCGACACAGGUGGUCAGGUAGAGAAUACCAAGGCGCUUGAGAGAACUCGGGUGAAGGAACUAGGCAAAAUGGUGCCGUAACUUCGGGAGAAGGCACGCUGGUGUGUAGGUGAAGUCCCUGCGGAUGGAGCUGAGACCAGUCGAAGAUACCAGCUGGCUGCAACUGUUUAUUAAAAACACAGCACUGUGCAAACACGAAAGUGGACGUAUACGGUGUGACGCCUGCCCGGUGCCGGAAGGUUAAUUGAUGGGGUUAUCCGUAAGGAGAAGCUCUUGAUCGAAGCCCCGGUAAACGGCGGCCGUAACUAUAACGGUCCUAAGGUAGCGAAAUUCCUUGUCGGGUAAGUUCCGACCUGCACGAAUGGCGUAAUGAUGGCCAGGCUGUCUCCACCCGAGACUCAGUGAAAUUGAACUCGCUGUGAAGAUGCAGUGUACCCGCGGCAAGACGGAAAGACCCCGUGAACCUUUACUAUAGCUUGACACUGAACAUUGAGCCUUGAUGUGUAGGAUAGGUGGGAGGCUUUGAAGCGUGGACGCCAGUCUGCGUGGAGCCAACCUUGAAAUACCACCCUUUAAUGUUUGAUGUUCUAACGUUGGCCCCUGACCGGGGUUGCGGACAGUGUCUGGUGGGUAGUUUGACUGGGGCGGUCUCCUCCCAAAGCGUAACGGAGGAGCACGAAGGUUAGCUAAUCCUGGUCGGACAUCAGGAGGUUAGUGCAAUGGCAUAAGCUAGCUUGACUGCGAGCGUGACGGCGCGAGCAGGUGCGAAAGCAGGUCAUAGUGAUCCGGUGGUUCUGAAUGGAAGGGCCAUCGCUCAACGGAUAAAAGGUACUCCGGGGAUAACAGGCUGAUACCGCCCAAGAGUUCAUAUCGACGGCGGUGUUUGGCACCUCGAUGUCGGCUCAUCACAUCCUGGGGCUGAAGUAGGUCCCAAGGGUAUGGCUGUUCGCCAUUUAAAGUGGUACGCGAGCUGGGUUUAGAACGUCGUGAGACAGUUCGGUCCCUAUCUGCCGUGGGCGCUGGAGAAUUGAGGGGGGCUGCUCCUAGUACGAGAGGACCGGAGUGGACGCAUCACUGGUGUUCGGGUUGUCAUGCCAAUGGCACUGCCCGGUAGCUAAAUGCGGAAGAGAUAAGUGCUGAAAGCAUCUAAGCACGAAACUUGCCCCGAGAUGAGUUCUCCCUGAGACUUUAAGUCUCCUGAAGGAACGUUGAAGACGAUGACGUUGAUAGGCCGGGUGUGUAAGCGCAGCGAUGCGUUGAGCUAACCGGUACUAAUGAACCGUGAGGCUUAACCUU
rnacentral:rRNA from 1 species